rnacentral:rRNA from 1 species
GAUGAACGCUGGCGGCGUGCCUAAUACAUGCAAGUCGAGCGAACGGACGAGAAGCUUGCUUCUCUGAUGUUAGCGGCGGACGGGUGAGUAACGCGUGGAUAACCUACCUAUAAGACUGGGAUAACUUCGGGAAACCGGAGCUAAUACCGGAUAAUAUUUUGAACCGCAUGGUUCAAAAGUGAAAGACGGUCUUGCUGUCACUUAUAGAUGGAUCCGCGCUGCAUUAGCUAGUUGGUAAGGUAACGGCUUACCAAGGCAACGAUGCAUAACCGACCUGAGAGGGUGAUCGGCCACACUGGAACUGAGACACGGUCCAGACUCCUACGGGAGGCAGCAGUAGGGAAUCUUCCGCAAUGGGCGAAAGCCUGACGGAGCAACGCCGCGUGAGUGAUGAAGGUCUUCGGAUCGUAAAACUCUGUUAUUAGGGAAGAACAUAUGUGUAAGUAACUGUGCACAUCUUGACGGUACCUAAUCAGAAAGCCACGGCUAACUACGUG